GUUGUUGAAGGCUUGGUGCCUUUAAGGAGAAUCUCUUCUCUAGCUUCUCCUCAGAACAAUCCUAUCUCUUGUUUUUUCUACAAUAACACCUACCCUAAACCUUCUGAGUUAUCUAACCUGUUCUAUUUCUCAAACUUCUAUCAGUCUGAGAGCACAAUAGUCAAACUCACACUCUCCCUUGCUUUUCCUACAGCAAGGUUCCUCAUUGGGUGUAGACGUGUAGUCAAGUAAAUGAAAGCAGUGCGUAGACGAUCCCAUGUUUAGUUGUUUACUGAUGAAGAACUGUUUUGUCCUCUUUUGAAUAGAAUGGCAUUCUUAUCUUUAGCACCUUGUCUAGGUUGGGCUACGCUUGAAGAAGCGAGCCCCUAUCAGAGAAAGCCAUGGCGCGCUAGCCUAGGUAGCUAGCGUUUUUCCGCUAUCCAGUACAAGCAUGCUGCUUUUACUAUGGACACCAGAUAUUAUUACAUAGAUAAUUAAGUGUUGUGAGCCAAAAUCAUAUUGCAGAUAAUCCUCUUGGUGGGAUCUAAACUACAAGUGAUUAUAAGUUUAUAACCAAGAUCGGGCAAAGGAUCUAGGAAAGAGGGGGUGUGGUGAUGGGUGCCCCGCUUGUUCAACCCGGUGAUAACUACUACUGGUUUGGACGCCCCUGCUUCAUGCUCUUCCUCAUCCACUUUGUUUUAUUUGUUUCAGAUGACCUCCUUUGCAUGGAGUACGGUAAGUAUAUAUGCUUAGAAGUUAACCAAGUAUACUUAUACCAUUCAUAGGGAUCUUAAUUACACUAGUUUUCAUAUACUGAUUUAUUACUUCAGUUUAGCAUAAAUUUUUGCUUCAGGGUUCCACCAAACCCCUGAAAAGACCAUCAGGAUCUCAAUGGGGUGAGGUUUACACCCUAUUACUAAUACCUGGAACUCCUACAAAGCAAAAAAGAGAGUAAAGCACAACCUGCAUUCAGAGAGAACCACACCAUUCUCAAGUAGACCUGGAACUCCUACACAUGGCAUGUCACCAUUUCAUUUAUUGCACAACGACAACAACCGCAGCGAAGUGGAUGACUUAUUUCCACCUCCAGAAGCAUCAGUAGUUGUCGAAAUGGAACAUUGGGACACUGAAGGGUCACAUUCCCCAAAGAACAAUGUUGGACUGAGUGAAAGAGGAGCAAUUAGGCAAACUGGUACUGUUAGAGAAUUAGGCCACAUUUAAGAGCCUCCAUGUGAGUAUAUUGGGCUAUUACCAUUCAACACAUGCUUUCCCAAGGUCACUAGGAGAGCAGAAGGUGCAGAGGAUUGGGAGAAUAUCUCUCCUGCCUUUCCGGAGGCUCAAGGCUAUAAAGGAAGAUUGCAGAAUCAGAUCACCAAUAGGAAAUCAAGGAAAUCAUGCUCACUGAUCUUAAGAUAAAGGCUCAGCAUAAAGUUAUAGUCCAUCGAGGUUCUCCUUUGCAAAAUCAAGAAAGUGAAAGAGUUGGACAAUGGAAAAACACUACCAAUGUAAACCAUUUUUAAUUCUGCUACAGUAUUUUGCAGAAACAAUGGCUAGGAUAUGACAAUGUUCAGUUGUGUUGUGAGUAGGAUAAACUAGCACUGCAAAUUCAUGAUGGUACAUAUAUGGAUUUUUGCUCUUUUAGGCUUCGGCAUAUUGUACUUUA